ACUAAAUAGAUACCCCGGUAGUCCCAGCCGUAAACGAUGCUCGCUAGGUGUCAGGCAUGGCGCGACCGUGUCUGGUGCUGCAGGGAAGCCGUGAAGCGAGCCACCUGGGAAGUACGGCCGCAAGGCUGAAACUUAAAGGAAUUGGCGGGGGAGCACAACAACGGGUGGAGCCUGCGGUUUAAUUGGACUCAACGCCGGACAACUCACCGGGGGCGACAGCAAUAUGUAGGCCAAGCUGAAGACUUUGCCUGAAUCGCUGAGAGGAGGUGCAUGGCCGUCGCCAGCUCGUACUGUGAAGCAUCCUGUUAAGUCAGGCAACGAGCGAGACCCGUGCCCACUGUUACCAGCAUGUCCUUUGGGAUGAUGGGUACUCUGUGGGGACCGCCGGUGUCAAAUCGGAGGAAGGUGCGGGCCACGGUAGGUCAGUAUGCCCCGGAAUCUCCCGGGCUACACGCGGGCUACAAUGAAUGGGACAAU
rnacentral:rRNA from 1 species